GGCACCGGUAGGAAAAAUUGCACAAUGGUGAAAAGCCUGAGGCGUCACCGCCUCGUUCUGGAGGAAGCCUUUUGGGUAUUAAAGUCCUUGUGGGGAGGAAGAGGAAGGACGGUACUCCAGGAAUAAGGAUCGGCUAACUCCGUGGCAGCAGCCGCGGUAACACGUAGGAUGCGAGCGUUAUUUGAAUUUACUGGGCGUAAAGCGCGUGUAGGCGGUUGGGCAAGUUGGACGUGAAAGCUCGUGGCUCAACUGGGAGGGGUGGUUCAAGUCAGCCAGGCUAGAGGGCGACAGAGGGAGGAGGAAUUCCCGGUGUAGAGGUGAAAUUCGUAGAUAUCGGGAGGAACACCAGUGGCGAAGGCGGCCUCCUGGGUCGCACCUGACGCUCAGGCGCGAAAGCUAGGGGAGCAAACGGGAUUAGAUACCCCGGUAGUCCUAGCCGUAAACGAUGAGGGCUUGGCGUUGGGGGGGUUAAAUCCAUCAGUGCCGGAGCUAACGCGAUAAGCCCUCCGCCUGGGGAGUACGGCCGCAAGGCUAAAACUCAAAUGAAUUGACGG
rnacentral:rRNA from 1 species